GCAGUUUUGCCAGGUUCCGUCUGCUCUCUCUGUGUGUGUGUGUGUGUGUGUGUGUGUGUGUCAAUAAAGUGUGCCAUUGAAUCCGGCCAGGAUGGCGGACUACGACUUGACAACCAAGAUAGCUCAUUUUCUCGACCGGCAUUUGGUUUUUCCUCUAUUGGAAUUCCUGUCAGUGAAAGAGAUCUACAAUGAAAAGGAACUUCUUCAGGGAAAGCUGGACCUCCUCAGCGAGACAAACAUGGUUGAUUUCGCCAUGGAUGUGUACAAAAACCUGUAUGCAGACAAGGAAAUCCCACACACUCUGAGAGAGAAGAGGAGUACUGUGGUGGCCCAACUCAAGCAGCUCCAGUCAGAGACGGAGCCAAUUGUCAAGAUGUUUGAAGACCCCGAGACGACUCGACAGAUGCAGUCCACACGAGAUGGGAGGUUGCUCUUCGAAUAUCUUUCAGAGAAACACAAUUUUCAACAAGAAUACCUGGACACACUGUACAGGUACGCCAAAUUCCAGUAUGAGUGCGGUAACUACUCCGGGGCUGCAGAGUACCUCUACUUCUUCCGUGUCCUUGUUCCCUCCACAGACAGGAAUGCUUUGAGCUCUUUGUGGGGGAAACUAGCCUCUGAGAUCCUGAUGCAGAACUGGGAGGCAGCCAUGGAGGAUCUCACUCGACUAAGGGAGACGAUUGAUAACAAUUCUGUGAGCUCUCCUCUCCAGUCCCUCCAGCAGAGGACCUGGCUCAUCCACUGGUCCCUCUUUGUGUUCUUCAACCAUCCUAAAGGCAGAGACAACAUCAUCGAGCUCUUCCUCUAUCAGCCUCAGUAUCUGAAUGCCAUCCAGACCAUGUGCCCACACAUCCUGCGAUACCUUACAACUGCAGUCAUCACCAACAAAGACGUUCGAAAGCGCAGACAAGUGCUCAAGGACUUGGUGAAAGUCAUUCAACAGGAGUCGUACACAUACAAGGACCCAAUCACAGAGUUUGUGGAGUGUCUCUAUGUGAACUUUGACUUUGACAGCGCCCAGAAGAAGCUGAGGGAGUGUGAGUCGGUUCUUGUGAAUGACUUCUUCCUGGUCGCUUGCCUUGAGGAUUUCAUUGAAAAUGCCCGUCUCUUCAUCUUUGAGACCUUUUGUCGGAUUCAUCAGUGUAUCAGCAUCAGCAUGCUGGCAGACAAGCUCAACAUGACGCCGGAGGAGGCGGAGAGGUGGAUCGUCAACCUCAUCCGUAAUGCCAGACUCGAUGCCAAGAUCGACUCCAAACUGGGUCAUGUGGUGAUGGGCAACAACGCAGUGUCGCCGUACCAGCAGGUGAUCGAGAAGACCAAGAGCCUGUCCUUCCGUAGCCAAAUGUUGGCAAUGAACAUCGAGAAGAAAGUCGCCCACAGCAACAGGAAUGAGACACCAAACUGGGCUGCUCAAGACUCCGGCUUAUGUUAAAAUGGAAAUCGGCUUCAAGAAGAUGCAGAUGGCUCUUGGGAUAUCAUUUAGGCUUUUUAUUGUAUUUAUUUAUUUAUAUAUAUAUAUAUAUAUAUAUAUAUAUAUAUAUCGUACAACUAUCGUUAUUUAACUGGCAGCUUAACCUAUGCAGUAAAAAAAUAUUAUAAGAGGAUUACAUGUGCACUCUCUUCAAAAUCUGGUUUUAAUAGUUAAUUUCUGAAUUAUUCACCCAAACUGUGGAAGUAACGACCCAACCUGAAAUAUCAUGAAUUAACAUUAAACAUUUCUUUGCCUCUUUUAGA